rnacentral:rRNA from 1 species
CCUACGGGGGGCAGCAGUGGGGAAUAUUGGGCAAUGGGCGCAAGCCUGACCCAGCAACGCCGCGUGAAGGAAGAAGGCUUUCGGGUUGUAAACUUCUUUUCUGAGGGACGAAGAAAGUGACGGUACCUCAGGAAUAAGCCACGGCUAACUACGUGCCAGCAGCCGCGGUAAUACGUAGGUGGCGAGCGUUAAUCGGAAUUACUGGGCGUAAAGCGCUCGUAGGCGGUAUGUCAAGUCAAGGGUGAAAUCCCCGCGCUCAACGUGGGAACUGCCUUUGAAACUGGCAAACUGGAGUGUGUGAGAGGAUAGUGGAAUUCCAGGUGUAGGAGUGAAAGCCGUAGAUAUCUGGAGGAACAUCAGUGGCGAAGGCGACUAUCUGGCACAUAACUGACGCUGAGGAGCGAAAGCGUGGGUAGCAAACAGGAUUAGAUACCCGAGUAGUC